rnacentral:rRNA from 1 species
CAGCAGCAGCCACGGGAAUGCGUAGGUGGCAAGCGUUGUCCGGAAUUAUUGGGCGUAAAGCGAGCGCAGGCGGUUAGAUAAGUCUGAAGUUAAAGGCUGUGGCUUAACCAUAGUACGCUUUGGAAACUGUUUAACUUGAGUGCAGAAGGGGAGAGUGGAAUUCCAUGUGUAGCGGUGAAAUGCGUAGAUAUAUGGAGGAACACCGGUGGCGAAAGCGGCUCUCUGGUCUGUAACUGACGCUGAGGCUCGAAAGCGUGGGGAGCGAACAGGAUUAGAUACCCCCGUAGUCCCUGUCUCUUAUACA